GCAUAUGACCAUGCUACUCUGAACACGCCUGAUCUCCUCUGAUCUUAGAAGUUAAGCAGGGUUGGGCCUGGUUAGUACUUGGAUGGGAGACUACCUAGGAAGACCAGGUGCUGUAGGCA
rnacentral:rRNA from 1 species